GGAAAGGUGGCCGAGUGGUCGAAGGCGCACGCUUGGAAAGCGUGUAAACGGUAACGUUUCAUGGGUUCGAAUCCCAUUCUUUCCG
rnacentral:tRNA from 1 species